UACGUAGGGUGCGAGCGUUAAUCGGAAUUACUGGGCGUAAAGCGUGCGCAGGCGGUUUUGUAAGCCAGAUGUGAAAUCCCCGGGCUCAACCUGGGAAUGGCAUUUGGGACUGCAAGGCUUGAGUGCGGCAGAGGAGACUGGAAUUCCUGGUGUAGCAGUGAAAUGCGUAGAUAUCAGGAGGAAUACCGAUGGCGAAGGCAGGUCUCUGGGCUGACACUGACGCUCAUGCACGAAAGCGUGGGGAGCAAACAGGAUUAGAGUAC
rnacentral:rRNA from 1 species